rnacentral:lncRNA from 1 species
GAGUUGUCUCUGUCCAUCUCUACAGUAGUCAUAAGGAUCGACCUUCUCUGUGGGUAGUAGCCAGCCUGAGGCAGGGAAAGCUGAAGUGUAAGCUCGCACACUGCCACUCACCAUGCAGCUGUCGAGCAUCGUGUUUGAUGCUAGCUCCCAUGCCUGGAAACUGUGUUAGGUGAGUUAGCAAACUCCACACUGAAGACCUGUGGUCUUGGGCCGCUCUAGACCUCUGCUGGCCACAGCUGGGCAGCGUGCCCUGUUCUGUACUCGAGUUGUGCACCAGUACCUAGAGUUGGACAGCAGCCUAACUGGAUAGCGUGCCCUGAGUCCGUGCUUUUUCUCCAGCUGGAAGUCCGUAUUGCCUUCUGGCUUCUCACAGAACAUGGAUCAGUCUGAGCAAAUGCUGGUCCGAUGAGAUGUUCCUGCCUUUGUUGGCACAUCGUCUGUGGAGGCUCACGCUGCAGAUUCUGGCCCGAUUCUCUGUGUUUGUCAGUGAGCUUUCUGUCAGGCCCAUCUCUAAUGAAACUGCCAAGGAGACUAAAAAGCCUUUGGCAGGCAGCAAAGACCCUUCGGACGACCAUGGAAGCCAUCCUUCAGAAGCAGGCGCUGUGCCCAUCUCCAGCACUCAGCUGGUGUAUGU